rnacentral:lncRNA from 1 species
GGAAGCGCUUUAUUGAGGGUCAUUCGUCUUCCGACUCUCGUCUUGUCGAAUUUCUCGUUUGCAAAAUUGCCCUGUAGUUUUCUACAAGUCUUUUAGGUUUUAUAACUCAGCAGAAAGAAACUCACGGCUGAGAGAAACUCUCCAGUUGUGGAUAAACUUUCCCUGAAGAUUUGAGUAUCAGACUGGUUCAAUCCAUACUUCUAUGUCACAGCUAUGGGGAUCCCUCUAUGCAAAGGAGAUCAAAAUCGUCAACAAAACAUUUCUUCAGACCCAAUGGAAAUUCAGGAGAGAUCUGCUCAUGCAGUUUCGAAUUUCAGCACAUCAGCAGGGACUGUUCAAGUUACGCCUUCAGGAUUUGGUAAUGAGAAUUUGAUUG